rnacentral:rRNA from 1 species
GUGAGGAAUAUUGGUCAAUGGACGCAAGUCUGAACCAGCCAAGUAGCGUGCAGGAUGACGGCCCUAUGGGUUGUAAACUGCUUUUAUACAGGGAUAAAGUCAGUUACGUGUAACUGUUUGUAGGUACUGUAUGAAUAAGGACCGGCUAAUUCCGUGCCAGCAGCCGCGGUAAUACGGAAGGUCCAGGCGUUAUCCGGAUUUAUUGGGUUUAAAGGGAGCGCAGGCUGAUGAUUAAGCGUGACGUGAAAUGUAGCCGCUCAACGGCUGAACUGCGUCGCGAACUGGUUAUCUUGAGUGAGUUCGAUGUUGGCGGAAUUCGUGGUGUAGCGGUGAAAUGCUUAGAUAUCACGAAGAACUCCGAUUGCGAAGGCAGCCAACAAGGCCUUUACUGACGCUAAAGCUCGAAGGUGCGGGUAUCGAACAGG